rnacentral:rRNA from 1 species
GACGAACGCUGGCGGCGUGCCUAACACAUGCAAGUCGAGCGAGUGAAUCUCCUUCGGGAGUGAAGCUAGCGGCGGACGGGUGAGUAACACGUGGGCAACCUGCCUCAUAGAGGGGAAUAGCCUUUCGAAAGGAAGAUUGAUACCGCAUAAGAUUGUAGCUUCGCAUGAAGUAGCAAUUAAAGGAGCAAUCCGCUAUGAGAUGGGCCCGCGGCGCAUUAGCUAGUUGGUGAGGUAACGGCUCACCAAGGCGACGAUGCGUAGCCGACCUGAGAGGGGAAUCGGCCACAUUGGGACUGAGACACGGCCCAGACUCCUACGGGAGGCAGCAGUGGGGAAUAUUGCACAGUGGGGGAAACCCUGAUGCAGCAACGCCGCGUGAGUGAUGACGGCCUUCGGGUUGUAAAGCUCUGUCUUCAGGGACGAUAAUGACGGUACCUGAGGAGGAAGCCACGGCUAACUACGUGCCAGCCGCCGCCGUAACAC